GACGAACGCUGGCGGCGUGCCUAAUACAUGCAAGUAGAACGCUGAAGAGAGGAGCUUGCUCUUCUUGGAUGAGUUGCGAACGGGUGAGUAACGCGUAGGUAACCUGCCUUGUAGCGGGGGAUAACUAUUGGAAACGUUAGCUAAUACCGCAUAACAAUGGAUGACCCAUGUCAUUUAUUUGAAAGGGGCAAAUGCUCCACUACAAGAUGGACCUGCGUUGUAUUAGCUAGUAGGUGAGGUAACGGCUCGCCUAGGCGACGAUACAUAGCCGACCUGAGAGGGUGAUCGGCCACACUGGGACUGAGACACGGCCCAGACUCCUACGGGAGGCAGCAGUAGGGAAUCUUCGGCAAUGGGGGCAACCCUGACCGAGCAACGCCGCGUGAGUGAAGAAGGUUUUCGGAUCGUAAAGCUCUGUUGUAAGUCAAGAACGAGUGUGAGAGUGGAAAGUUCACACUGUGACGGUAGCUUACCAGAAAGGGACGGCUAACUACGUG
rnacentral:rRNA from 1 species